UUCAAUAAUAAUUAAUCACAAUGGAGUAUCUACAUUGUGAGGCAGUACACAAUCCAAGAUCAAACAUGAAUUACUAUUCAUCAUGUGGAUUUCAAUCUCAAAAUCCAGAUUUCAAAAACAUGGUUUCUAAAGCCACCAACCAUCUUAAUUCUGCACUAGCUGGUUCUUGUCAGAAUAAAAAUAAUCGCUUUUCUAAAGUUGGCAGGCCCAAGAUUGAAGAGAAAUUGGUUAAAAAAGAUGAAUCUUUCAGUAAAAAAAUUCAAGAACCCGAAAAGAAGUUUGAUCAAAAGGGUUAUAAUCAGCCAGGUGCAGGGAAAAGGAUUAAAGAUGUGAUAAGAUUGAUGAAGGAUGUUGAAAACGGCGAAAGGCUGCCCAAUAAACCGAAUAAGAAUAAUCGGUUUUCUAAAGUUGGUAGGCCCAACAAGAAAAGGGUUUAUUAUGAUGAUCUUGAGUUGGGUUGUCCCAAGAUUGAAGAGAAAUUUGUUAAAAAAGAUGAAUCUUUUAGUAAAAGGAUUCAAGAACCCGAAAAGAAGGUUGAUAAGGAGGAUUUAAGAAACGAUCAAAAGAGUUUUAAUCAGCCGGGUGCAGGGAAAAAUAUUAGAUAUGUGAAAAGAUUAAUGGAGGAGGUCGUUGAAAGGCUGCCCAAGAAACGAAAGGUGGAUCAUCAGACGCGUCGCAGGUGCGUGCUUUCUACAUUAAUUGAAAAGAAUAUUGUUAGUAGGGGUUCGAAUGUUAGUUAUCGUAAGAAAGAUGGAAAAGUUAUUGCGAAAGGGCGGGCGUAUGAUGAAGGUAUUCAAUGUGAUUGUUGUGGGGUGUACUUUUUGUUGUGUAAAUUUGAAGCUCAUGCUGGUAGUACUUAUCAUAGACCAGCAGCUUAUACCUUUCUUGAAGAUGGGACUGGGAGGUCUAUUUCUGACUGUCAAAAUCAAUUGAAGAAACUCGAUAACCAUCAUGUGUUUAAGGUUCCUAAAACACCUGAUCGUGCGUGUGAAGUCCCUAAGCCUUCACAAGUAUUGACAGGGCAUGAUGAAUUCUGUUGGGUAUGUAAAGAUGGGGGUGAGUUGUUGUCAUGUGAUUCUUGCACAUCAUGUUACCAUCUGUCCUGCAUUGGGUUGAAAAGCAUGCCGAAAUCAUGUUACUGGUUUUGUCCUACCUGUUCUUGUGGUAUUUGUGAUCGUGAUAAGAUUGGUAACUUCACUGAUGAUAAAGCUCGCAGCAAAGUUAAAUGUGGACAAUGUCGGCACCAGUACCAUAUUGAUUGUAUUAGAAACUUGGGUUUCUCAAUGUCUUUUGAUUCUAAAAAUUGGUUUUGUAAAGAGGCAUGUGAAAGAAUAUUUCUCGGCCUUAAGGGGAUAUCUGGCCAGGCGAUUCCUUUGCCAGUUGAUGGCUUAAAUUGGAGAUUGUUACAAAUUGACUAUGAACACAGCAUGGAGGACUGUGCAGAAACUUAUGGUAAGCUAAAUGACGCGUUAGAUGUGAUGCACGAGUGUUUUGAGAUGGUAAACAAUCCGUUGUCCGGAAAUGAUAUCAUGGAAGAUGUCAUCUUUAGUAGAGAUAUAAAGGGUUCGGAUUUUGCGGGGUUUUAUACUACAGUUUUGGAGAAAGAUGAGGAAAUAGUUAGUGUGGUUAACUUUCGGGUGCAUGGUAGUAAAGUGGCUGAGAUUCCAUUAGUUGCAACAAGAUUUCAACACAGAAAAUUAGGGAUGUGCAGGAUUUUGAUGGAUGAGCUUGAAAGGAAAUUGGAAUACUUUGGGGUUAAGAGACUCGUUUUGACUGCCGUUCCAGAGAUGGUUAGUGCUUGGACAGAGUCAUUUGGGUUCACUGUGAUGUCAGAAGCUGAAUGUUUAGAUGCUGUUGACUGCAAGUUUCUUGAAUUUCCUGGUACCAUAAAAUGUCAGAAAUUCUUGAAGAAUAUGUGAGCAGAUAUGUUUAUUCUAGUUCUUUAUAAGAUAUGGCCCAUCUCAUGACUCGUGAUGAAGACAUUGAAGGUGAUGGUGUAAUAUGCGUGGCUGUUGACAAUCUGCUAACUGGAUUUGCCAAAGAGCUACUAUAUUGAUGAUAUACCUCUUCACUUAAGGAGAGCUGGUAUAGCACAUGGAGGAGCUCUUACUAACUUAUACGAAUAUAUCCCCCGAAUGCGGAAUCCACAAGACUUGUCAGAGAAUAUUGCCAGUGUCGUCUCUAAUAGGAAGAGAUAUACUAUGCUGGUUUGUUUCUGAUUCCCAUGCUUCACUAUCAGUUUAUUUUACAAUAUUAUCACAUAAUCUAUUUCAGAGGGAUCAUAUACAGUCCUUACAGCCGUGGACUUUAUGAUUUGUGUGUUGGAUAACCUUCAUCCAGGUGAUAGAUAAAUAAGAGAAUGGACUGGUCAUCCCUCUUCUACUUGGUUUUCUUAUUUUUGUUACUUGCUAGAAGUUUUUGUAAGUGUUCGUAAACCUGUAUAGUCGUGAUGUUCUUUUCUCUGUUUUGUCUUACUAUAUUGAAGGUUACCUUAUUUGUGUUCUUGUUAGUCGGUGACUUUUAUGCAGUUUGAUAUCGUUAUGAGCAUAUGACCCGAAAACCCGUGAUCCGAACCCAACCCGUCCGAAGAGGUAAUGGGUCGGGUCACGGGUUUGAUUUUGUUGGUCCUCCGGGUUUCGGGCCGGGCCGCCCGGGUUUUGACAAGUGAAGAACAAGAAACCCCUUAAACCCGAUAACCGAACCGAACCCUUCCAAACCCAAACUGACCUACCCGAAGGGGUAACAGGCUGGGUCACGGGUUUGAUUUUAUUGCUUCACCGGGUCACGGGUUGCAUGGGUCGGUCCGGGUUUGACCCGUGCACAUCCCUAAAUAUAUGCAUUAUUGUAGUUUACUGGUUUUGUUGUUUCGUUUAUUGUAUUAUGGCAUCUAACAUGCUAGCUACUAUGACAUAUAUUGAAGAUUUACCUCUUCACUUAAGGCCUAUCACAAUAGGGUUGUCGACAACCCUUCGAUGGGCUCGUUGACGAUGCCCUUAUUGUGAGCACCCCGUCGAUGGGGUUCAUCGUCGCCAGCCAUCAACCCAUCGAUGUGCAAUGACGAGAAAAAGAUAGAGAGAGUGGGGCCGAACUGUCUUUCUUUUUUUUUCUUCUGUUUUUUCAUAUAUUGUGUGUAUAUAUAUACACAUAUCUGUGUGUUUUUUUUAUGUGUGUUGUGUGUGUGUGUGUGCAGAUAAUUACAAGGAAGAAGACACAUUUUUCAGAAAUUAACACUUUUGGUUCCUCUAUCAUUUUACAUAUGGUUUUUAUAUACUUAAAAAAAUUUCAGUUUAGUCCCUAAAGUAUUAACUUAUUUAUAAUUUAGUUUUAAAGUUUUCAAAAGUUUUGAAUAUAACUAUAAUCUAGGUGCGGGCUAGGUUUGUCAACCUGCUGUUGAGCUCUUAUCAUCGAUUGGAAGCAAUUCACCUCUAGAAUGGACAAAAUUAAGCAAGAUAGCAGAAUUCUUGGAAAAGAACUGAGUUAUACUGUUAUAGUCGCGUCACUUUUUCUGAAGGACGCAGAGGAGGUACGCUUAACUUUUCAUAUGUGGUCAUAAUUUUAUGUUGACUCUGGAGUCUGCAUUGAAGUACUAAUUGAUAUGUGACUUUUUUAAUCAGCUCACCAUCAGUGUAGUAAUGGCCCACUCUCUAUGGAUAGAAAACCGUGGAUGCAUAAUAUAAUUCUGAUAUUAAUAAUUUAUUAAAAAAAAUUAAGUUAAUAAAAUGCUUGUGAUAUUCAAAGAUCAUUUCUGGAGUUUCUUGCCUUUUUGAUAGUUCUAGUGGAGACAAGGUUACUAUUAUCUGAAAUUGAAACAUGCUCUUACUGAGAUACUAUAUUUAUAUUGCAUAUACAGAUCCACAUAUAUUCUUGCCAAGGAGUGAAGAAAUUUCUUUGAGUACUGUGUACUUUUAUGAUCAUCUUUUGGUGAAUGUUCUAAAUUGUUUCUGUAUAUCCUAUUGGGUUUCUCCAUAGUUGAUUUACUUCCAAAUCUUAAUUGUAGUCUUGUUUUCAAUUUUAUGUAGACAUUAUUAAGAGCUUCUUUAUAAGUAAACUACUGAUGUGCACUGUACUGCUUAUAGGUUAAUUAACAGUUUUAGGCUUGUGAUAAUUUCAGUUUUCCCUGGUUUCCAUUCGCAGAGAAGUGGGUUAAGUAUGGCCCACCGUUUUCUAUCUCCCUGUUUUGCUGUAAUUCGAAGGUGAUCCAGAUGCUAUCGCAGUACAGCUGGACACGAUGGAUUAUGAUAGUCUCUAUAAGUCAGUCAGUCAGGUAAGUACUCCUUGUUAUUGCUUGUCCCAAUAGUGAAAAUGCUUGUGGUGUUGCUAUAAUUGAAGAUAGAUGUCAAAUAUGAUAUUGGUUGCAUUGAAAUCAUCUAGAACUAUUAAAUCCUGGGUGUCUUGAGCAUUGGUAAAAAGCAUUUAGCGAAUACAACUUUAGUAGCGGUGAGAUGAAGAGUUUAAAUGGAUGGCAUUUGGGAGCUAAUAGCAAUGAUAUACAAAUCUCUGGAUCUGAACAUGGUAUCAUCCAGGUGACAGUAUCUCGGUGGAUAAUGUGGUGCUGUAUAAGCAGCAUAUAUUAAAUAGAUGGAUUUGCAGUAGACCUACGAAAUGCAAAUGCUAGAGACCCUUUAAUCACGUUUAUGUAAGGCUGUAGAACUCGGGACUCGGGAUCGGAUU